rnacentral:rRNA from 1 species
AGUGAACGCUGGCGGCAGGCCUAACACAUGCAAGUCGAACGGGUGAAAAGGGCUUGCUCGUGGAUUCGAGUGACGAGUGGGAAGUAGUGCCGAGGAAGCUGCCAACCAGGGGGAGAUAGGGUCCGUACACCGGCGCUAAUACCGCAUAAGGCCGGAGGGCGCAAGUGGGGGAGCUUGGGACCUCACGCGAUGAGAGGAGGGUAAGGGGGAAUAGCUAGUUGGUGGGGUAACGGGUUAAAGAGGAGACGAUGCGUAACUGGUCUGAGAGGAUGAUCAGUCACACUGGAACUGAGAAACGGUCCAGACUCCUACGGGAGGCAGCAGUGGGGAAUAUUGGACGAUGGGGGAAAGCCUGAUCCAGCCAUACCGCGUGUGUGAAGAAGGUGCUCGGAUUGGAAAGCGCUUUAGGUUGGGAGGAAGGGAAGCACGUUAAUACCUUGCUGUUUUGACGGUACCCACAGAAUAAGCACCGGCUAACUUCGUG